CUAUGGGUGCUAGAGGGUCAGCGGGC
rnacentral:piRNA from 1 species